rnacentral:rRNA from 2 species
GGUCAAGAAACAAAGGGCAUACGGUGGAUGCCUUGGCGCUAAGGGCCGAAGAAGGGCGUGGAAAGCUGCGAAAAGCCACGGGGAGCCGCAAGCAGGCCUUGAUCCGUGGAUACCCGAAUGGGGCAACCCGGCGGAGCAAAACUCCGUCACCCUAUGCUGAACACAUAGGCAUAGAGGAGGGCACCCGGGGAACUGAAACAUCUAAGUACCCGGAGGAAGAGAAAGAAACAUCGAACCCCCCAGUAGCGGCGAGCGAAAAGGGGCGAGCCUAAACCAGAGGACUACGGUUCUCUGGGGUUGCGGGAACCUCAUCACGUGAUGAUUAGUCCUAGUCGAAGACACCUGGAAAGGUGCUGCACAGAAGGUAACACACCUGUAGGCGAAAGGGCGAAAAUUGCAGAGGACAUCCCAAGUACCGCAGGACACGAGAAACCCUGUGGGAAUCCGGGGGGACCACCCCCCAAGGCUAACUACCCUUAGCGACCGAUAGUGAACCAGUACCGUGAGGGAAAGGUGAAAAGCACCCCGGGAGGGGAGUGAAAAAGAACCUGAAACCGUAUGCCUACAAACUGUCGGAGCACGAUUCAGUCGUAAGUCGUCAGACGUCAGACGUCGGGAAAAGGAAGAAAGAACUUUUGGGUCAAGGAAUAAAGGCCCAAAAGGAAUACAUGCAAACCUGACGACUGCUGCCUGACGACUGACGACUGAUGUGUGACGGCGUACUUUUUGUAGAACGGACCGGCGAGUUACAUCCAACGUGCAGGUUAAGGCGAGCAAUGCCGGAGCCAAAGCGAAAGCGAGUCUUAAAAGGGCGGCAAGUACGUUGGAGUAGACCCGAAACCUGGUGAUCUACCCAUGUCCAGAGUGAAGCUUUAGUAAAAUAAAGUGGAGGCUCGAACCGACCUUCGUUGAAAAGGAGGCGGAUGAGGUGUGGGUAGUGGUGAAAUGCCAAUCGAACCAGGAGAUAGCUGGUUCUCCCCGAAAUAGCUUUAGGGCUAGCCUCGGAAGAUGGUUAGCGGAGGUAGAGCACUGAAUGGGCUAGGGGCCUUCACGGGUUACCGAACCCAAUCAAACUCCGAAUGCCGCAUAACUUACUCCGGGAGUCAGACUGCGAGUGCUAAGAUCCGUAGUCAAAAGGGAAACAGCCCAGACCAACAGCUAAGGUCCCAAAGACAGGCUAAGUGGAAAAGGAUGUGGGGUUGCACAGACAACCAGGAUGUUGGCUUAGAAGCAGCCACCAUUUAAAGAGUGCGUAAUAGCUCACUGGUCAAGUGGCCCUGCGCCGAAAAUGAAACGGGGCUAAGCCUGGCACCGAAGCUUUGGAUCAGAUGGAAUUAAUGGUGUAUCAAGUGUUACAUUGGAAAGGUAAAAGUGAGUUUCAUUUUGUCACAAAAUAUCCUUAAAAAUAAAUUAAAUAUUUUGUGACCAAAUACCUCAGCUAAGACUGGCACCUGGUGCAGCAUUAAUUCCAUCUGAUGGUAGGGGAGCGUUCUUAUUCCGUUGAAGUCGUACCGUGAGGAGCGGUGGAGGAAUAAGAAGUGAGAAUGCCGGUAUGAGUAAGCGAAAAGGCAGGUGAGAAUCCUGCCCGCCGAAAACCUAAGGAUUUCUGGGGAAGGUUCGUCCGCCCAGAGUAAGCCGGGACCUAAGCCGAGGCCGCAAGGCGUAGGUGAUGGACAAUCGGUUGAGAAUCCGAUGCCACCAACGACCGUUUGAGGAUGGAGUGACGCAGGAGGGUACGUUUAGCCAGCGGCUGGAAAAGCUGGUCCAAGCCCGUAGGGUGUGUGGUAGCAAAUCCGCCACACAAAAAACCUGAGAGGUGAAGGGGAGCGAAAACAAGUAGCGAAGAAACGGAUCCCAAACUGCCAAGAAAAACUUCUAACGAGGUUAGUUGGUGCCCGUACCGCAAACCGACACAGGUAGGUGGGGUGAAAAUCCUAAGGCGCGCGAGAGAACCCUCGUUAAGGAACUCGGCAAAAUGACCCCGUAACUUCGGGAGAAGGGGUGCCUCGGUAUUGUGAAAGAUGAACAUCUGGAGCAAGAAGAGGCCGCAGAGAAAAGGCCCAAGCGACUGUUUACCAAAACACAGGUCCCUGCUAAAGCGAAAGCUGACGUAUAGGGCUGACGCCUGCCCGGUGCUGGAAGGUUAAGGGGAAGUGUUAGCGCAAGCGAAGCAGAGAACCGAAGCCCCAGUAAACGGCGGCCGUAACUAUAACGGUCCUAAGGUAGCGAAAUUCCUUGUCAGGUAAGUUCUGACCCGCACGAAAGGCGUAACGAUUUGGCACUGUCUCAACGAGGGGCUCGGUGAAAUUGUAAUGACGGUGAAGAUGCCGUCUACCUGCGACAGGACAGAAAGACCCCGUGGAGCUUUACUGUAGCUUGACAUUGGGUUUUGGUAUUUGAUGUACAGGAUAGGUGGGAGACUGAGAAGU